AGUUACUGUCAGUUAUCAGUUAUCAGUUAUCAGAGGGAAGAUGCCUUUCUAGAGACCUUAUGACCAUCAUUCUGAAGUUUCUGCAGGACUUGCUUGAAUCCACCAAAGCUGGGCUGCCCCAUCCCGAACACAGCAUAUCCUCCUUUGGCCUGCCGAAAGUUGGGAGCCCCACAAGUGCUGGAAGUAUUCAGGACAUCUACUUUGCCAUAUACAUCAUGGACCAUAAAAUAUUUCCCCUACAUGGAACAAUAACAAAAAAUGGAGAGAUGUCAAUGUGCAGAAGAAGGCAGUGAAGUAAAUGGUCAAUUAACAUCUUCACAAAAAUAACAAAAUGGAUAAUCUGCAGAGGACCAGACAAAUUCACGGAAGACAGUCCUAUUAUGGUCAUUGUCUAUUAAUGCUCAAUAAUAAACAUUCAGCAAUAUUAUGGUGCAAUGCACCACUCGUUAAGACAGGGAACCAGAAUAGGAAGGCUACAUCAUGUUUCUUGGCCUCUGUUGGCCAUUAUGAGAAAUGAGAUGCUGAUCCUUUGGCCCAGAAAAGCUCUUUUUAAAAUGUUUUUAAUCACCACAUCCUUCUGAAUAUCUAUGCAUAAUCCGCAACAUUCACCUGGACAAGAUAGUGUUCUGGAGUAGCUUCUGUAAUCCGCCCCACAGUAUAGCUAGCUUUCAAUAAGUCGUCAUGUAUUUGAAAUUCUUCUUUGCAAUUGUAGCUGUAAGAAACACAAGACAGAAAUUGAGUGGCUGGUUUUUCUGCAACUAAAAUGUUUUCUGUGAUUAAACAAGCAUCGUAAGAUUC